CUCCAAUCAAUAUGGAGAUGGAGAAUAAUAUGCAGAAGAUUAGCAUGGCCCCUGUUCAAAGAUGACACGCAAAUUCAUGAAAUGUUUUAUAUUUUC
ensembl:snRNA U6 U6 spliceosomal RNA